CCUAGGGCAUCAGCAGUGGGGAAUAUUGGACAAUGGGCGAAAGCCUGAUCCAGCCAUGCCGCGUGUGUGAAGAAGGCCUUCGGGUUGUAAAGCACUUUCAGUGGGGAAGAAAGCCUUGGGGCUAAUACCCUCGAGGAAGGACAUCACCCACAGAAGAAGCACCGGCUAACUCCGUGCCAGCAGCCGCGGUAAUACGGAGGGUGCGAGCGUUAAUCGGAAUUACUGGGCGUAAAGCGCGCGUAGGCGGUCUGAUAAGCCGGUUGUGAAAGCCCCGGGCUCAACCUGGGAACGGCAUCCGGAACUGUCAGGCUAGAGUGCAGGAGAGGAAGGUAGAAUUCCCGGUGUAGCGGUGAAAUGCGUAGAGAUCGGGAGGAAUACCAGUGGCGAAGGCGGCCUUCUGGACUGACACUGACGCUGAGGUGCGAAAGCGUGGGUAGCAAACAGGAUUAGAUACCCCUGUAGUC
rnacentral:rRNA from 1 species